rnacentral:piRNA from 1 species
UGCCAAUACAGCUAUACAGUUAGGUGCUUA